AAUUUGCAUGAGGGAUGGAAAUGGCAUCCUUUUGUUUUGCUUCUUUAGCAAAAUAAAAGAUAGAAUGGACAGCUCGACCCUUG
rnacentral:sRNA from 1 species